AUUCCAUGCCGAACUCAGAAGUGAAACACAAUAGCGCCGAUGGUAGUGUGGGGCUUCCCCAUGUGAGAGUAGGACAUCGCCAGGC
rnacentral:rRNA from 1 species